GAUGAACGCUAGCGGCAGGCUUAACACAUGCAAGUCGAGGGGUAUAGUUCUUCGGAACUAGAGACCGGCGCACGGGUGCGUAACGCGUAUGUAAUCUACCUUUUACAGGGGGAUAGCCCAGAGCAAUUUGGAUUAAUACCCCAUAGUAUGUUGUGGUGGCAUUACUAUAACAUUAAAGUUCCAACGGUAAAAGAUGAGCAUGCGUCCCAUGAGCUAGAUGGUAAGGUAACGGCUUACCAUGGCUACGCUGGGUAGGUGUCCUGAGGGGGAGAUCCCCCACACUAGUACUGGAGCACGGACCAGAGUCCUUCGGGGGGCAGCAGUGAAGAAUUUUGGACAAUGGGCGCAAGCCUGAUCCAGCGAUGCCGCGUGCAGGAUGACGGUCCUAUGGAUUGUAAACUGCUUUUGGACAGGAAGAAACACUCCCUCGUGAGGGAGCUUGACGGUACUGUAAGAGUAAGGAUCGGCUAACUCCGUGCCAGCCGCCGCCGUAA
rnacentral:rRNA from 1 species